rnacentral:rRNA from 1 species
AGUGAACGCUGGCGGCGUGCUUAACACAUGCAAGUCGAACGAGAACGGAUUAUAGCUUGCUAUAAUAGUCAGCUAAGUGGCGCACGGGUGAGUAAUGUAUAGGUAAUAUGCCUCUUACUAAGGGAUAACAAAUGGAAACGUUUGCUAAUACCUUAUACUCCUUAUUAACAUAAGUUAAUAAGGGAAAGAUUUAUUGGUAAGAGAUUAGCCUGUAUUGUAUCAGUUAGUUGGUGGGGUAAUGGCUUACCAAGACUAUGACACAUAACUGGUUUGAGCGGAUGAUCAGUGACACUGGAACUCAGACACGGUCCAGACUCCUACGGGAGGCAGCAGUGGGGAAUAUUGCACAAUGGACGAAAGUCUGAUGCAGCAACGCCGCGUGGAGGAUGACACAUUUCGGUGCGUAAACUCCUUUUAUAUGAGAAGAUAAUGACGGUAUUAUAUGAAUAAGCGCCGGCUAACUCCGUGCCAGCAGCCGCAGUAA